AUUGAACGCUGGCGGUAUGCCUUACACAUGCAAGUCGAACGGUAGAGGGGCAACCCUUGAGAGUGGCGAACGGGUGAGUAAUACAUCGGAACGUGCCCAGUCGUGGGGGAUAACGUAGCGAAAGCUACGCUAAUACCGCAUACGACCUGAGGGUGAAAGCGGGGGAUCGCAAGACCUCGCGCGAUUGGAGCGGCCGAUGGCAGAUGAGGUAGUUGGUGGGGUAAAGGCCUAACAAGCAUGCGAUCUGUAGCUGGUCUGAGAGGACGACCAGCCACACUGGGACUGCGACACGGCCCAGACUCCGACGGGAGGCAGCAGUGGGGAAUUUUGGACAAUGGGCGAAAGCCUGAUCCAGCCAUACCGCGUGCGGGAAGAAGGCCUUCGGGUUGUAAACCGCUUUUGUCAGGGAAGAAAUCUUCUGGGUUAAUACCUCGGGAGGAUGACGGUACCUGAAGAAUAAGCACCGGCUAACUACGUGCCAGCCGCCGCUGUAAAAC
rnacentral:rRNA from 1 species